rnacentral:rRNA from 1 species
UACGCUUGUUGGUGAGUAUGGCUCACCAAGGCGACGACGGGUAGCCGGCCUGAGAGGGCGACCGGCCACACUGGGACUGAGACACGGCCCAGACUCCUACGGGAGGCAGCAGUGGGGAAUAUUGCACAAUGGGCGAAAGCCUGAUGCAGCGACGCCGCGUGAGGGAUGACGGCCUUCGGGUUGUAAACCUCUUUCAGCAGGGAAGAAGCGAAAGUGACGGUACCUGCAGAAGAAGCGCCGGCUAACUACGUGCCAGCAGCCGCGGUAAUACGUAGGGCGCAAGCGUUGUCCGGAAUUAUUGGGCGUAAAGAGCUCGUAGGCGGUCUGUCGCGUCGGAUGUGAAAGCCCGGGGCUUAACCCCGGGUCUGCAUUCGAUACGGGCAGACUAGAGUGUGGUAGGGGAGAUCGGAAUUCCUGGGUGUAGCGGUGAAAUGCGCAGAUAUCAGGAGGAACACCGGUGGCGAAGGCGGAUCUCUGGGCCAUUACUGACGCUCAGGAGCGAAAGCGUGGGGAGCGAACAGGAUUAGAUACCCUGGUACUCCAGGCCGUAAACGGUGGGAACUUAGGUGUUGGGAACUUCC